CCUACGGGUGGCAGCAGUGGGGAAUAUUGCACAAUGGGGGAAACCCUGAUGCAGCAACGCCGCGUGAGCGAAGAAGGCCUUCGGGUCGUAAAGCUCUGUCCUAAGGGAAGAAGCAUGACGGUACCUUAGGAGGAAGCCCCGGCUAACUACGUGCCAGCAGCCGCGGUAAUACGGAGGGGGCGAGCGUUAUCCGGAAUCACUGGGCGUAAAGGGUGCGUAGGCGGCCAAUUAAGCCAGAGGUGAAAGGCUACGGCUCAACCGUAGUAAGCCUUUGGAACUGAAUGGCUUGAGUGCAGGAGAGGAGAGGGGAAGUCCAAGUGUAGCUGUGAAAUGCGGAGAUCUUAGGAGGAACACCAGUGGCGAAGGCGACUCUCUGGACUGUAACUGACGCUGAGGCACGAAAGCGUGGGGAGCAAACAGGAUUAGAUACCCGGGUAGUC
rnacentral:rRNA from 1 species